CUAUGAGCGGGAACACGUGUUUUAAAUGUGAUCCAGACAUGAUGGGAAUAAUGGAAAAGCAGAGAACAUACCCUGUUGUACCACCGGCUCGUUGAUCGGUUCUCCAGCAAUCAGCACAAAAUGAGAAACUUCAGAGCCCUGGAGAUAAAAACAAUCCAUCAUCUCUCUUGGAAAAAAGGUUAAAGGAAGAUUUCAAGUAAUAAAAAUAACAUCAGCUUAACAAAAGGUUUUUUUUAUAAUAAAAAUUUGAUUAAAAAAAGUGAUUUUUUAAAAUCUAAUUAAAAGUGUUAGAUUCUAGAUUUAGUGUUCUAAGCAAUAAAUUAGAACACUAAAAAUUGCUAAAUUUGAAAGUGGUUGAAAUGUUGAGGCUUUCUAGAUGCUUUCCUGCAGCAGGAACACCUUUUAAGGAAGAAUGGGGAUGUUCCUUACAGCAAACUGGUAAAACUACUAAUGAGUCUGUGAGACCAAAACUUCAACAAUAUUGUUAGACACUUUGCCAACUGUUUAUGAGUCUUAAUGGCAUUUUAAACUAAAAAAA